UGGAGAUGUCGGUGCUGGUGGCGGCGGCCUAGCGCCUCUAGGCCCGGGGUUCAGAGCCCUUUCCGCUUCCUGCCUCAGUUGUCCCUUGAGGCUUGGCUUUCGAAGCGUCCAAGCGGGAAGAGCUGUUUUACUGAAAUCCUGGCUUGGGGAUGUUGGUGUCGAUAAACCCUGCACUGAUCCUUUCAUUUAGGAUUUUAAAAACAUGCAUGUCAGCAACAACAUUCAACAGAAAAAAGUUUACUAUAUGUAAUUAAGUGUUGUACCGGAAAUAAAAUACCUUGAGAGGAAUGCAUACCUUGAAACCAAAGGCCGGUCCUCUGUUCUCUACAAGUCACACUGCCUCUUUUACCAAGUUGAAUAAAAUUUUGGGGUCUAUUCUCAUGAACAAUAAAAUGGUGGUAGUGGUGGAAUUCUCUGGUGGUCACCUGAAUAAACUAAACCCAAAGGCUCUCCCAGACCAUGCAAGCUGAGUCUCUGUGAUUCUCUGUGAUUGAGCAUGGGCAGGACUGACCAAUAUAGGAUCACAUAGAACAGAACAAGAACCUGGUAAGUCCCCUGGGUUCAGGUUGUUCACAGUCCGGG